rnacentral:rRNA from 1 species
CCUACGGGGUGCACCAGUGAGGAAUAUUGGACAAUGGGUGGAAGCCUGAUCCAGCCAUCCCGCGUGCAGGAAGACGACCCUAUGGGUUGUAAACUGCUUUUAUCUGGGGAUAAACCUACUUACGUGUAAGUAGCUGAAGGUACCAGAAGAAUAAGCACCGGCUAACUCCGUGCCAGCAGCCGCGGUAAUACGGAGGGUGCAAGCGAUAUCCGGAUUUAUUGGGUUUAAAGGGUCCGUAGGCGGACUAGUAAGUCAGUGGUGAAAUCCGACAGCUUAACUGUCGAACUGCCAUUGAUACUGCCAGUCUUGAGUAAGGUUGAAGUGGCUGGAAUAAGUAGUGUAGCGGUGAAAUGCAUAGAUAUUACUUAGAACACCAAUUGCGAAGGCAGGUCACUAAGUCUUAACUGACGCUGAUGGACGAAAGCGUGGGGAGCGAACAGGAUUAGAUACCCGGGUAGUC